GAUGAAGAACGCAGUGAAAUGCGAUAAGUAAUGUGAAUUGCAGAAUUCAGUGAAUCAUCGAAUCUUUGAACGCACAUUGCGCCCCCUGGUAUUACGGGGGGCAUGCCUGUUCGAGCGUCAUUUCACCACUCAAGCCUCGCUUGGUAUUGGGCAACGCGGUCCGCCGCGUGCCUCAAAUCGACCGGCUGGGUCUUCUGUCCCCUAAGCGUUGUGGAAACUAUUCGCUAAAGGGUGUUCGGGAGGCUACGCCGUAAAACAACCCCAUUUCUAAGGUUGACCUCGGAUCAGGUAGGGAUACCCGCUGAACUUAAGCAUAUCAAUAAGCGGAGGA
rnacentral:misc_RNA from 1 species